GUCCCUUCCAACUCUACAAUUCUUUGAUUCCAUGGUUGACCCCAAUCCCUGCACAUGUGUACAGUCAACACAAUUUGGCCACUGAAUCAUAGAAUCAUAGAAUCAUAGAGUUGGAAGAGAC